UUUUUUAAUUGAAAGCUGGAAUGAAAGGUAGAGACUAAAAAGAAGGUUUUGUAGAGAGUUUUUGAAUUUAAAUUAGAAGUAAAAAUGCUUUUAUUAUCCCUUGGGACGAGAAGACCCUAGAAGCUUUAUAAUGUUAUAUUUUUGAUUGGGGCAAUUAGUAAAGAGAAGAAUUUUUGUAAUUAUAAGUAGUUAAGAAAAAAGAAAGUUACUCUAGGGAUAACAGCGUUAUUUAAGUUACAAGUUCUUAUUAAAACUUAAGUUUGCGACCUCGAUGUUGAAUUAAUAUUUAUAUUUGGUGAAGAAACUAAAAUAAAUUUAGUCUGUUCGACUAUUAAAAUAUUACGUGAUCUGAGUUCCAGACCGGA
rnacentral:rRNA from 1 species